AGGACGAACGCUGGCGGCGUGCUUAACACAUGCAAGUCGAGCGGUGAACCGGAGCUUGCUCCGGGGAUCAGCGGCGAACGGGUGAGUAACACGUGGGCAACCUGCCCUCAGCUCUGGGAUAACUCCGGGAAACCGGGGCUAAUACCGGAUACGACUUCCUGCGGCAUCUCGGGAAGUGGAAAGUUUUUCGGCUGAGGAUGGGCCCGCGGCCUAUCAGCUUGUUGGUGGGGUAAUGGCCCACCAAGGCGACGACGGGUAGCCGGCCUGAGAGGGCGACCGGCCACGACGUGGACUGAGACACGGCCCAGACUCCUACGGGAGGCAGCAGUGGGGAAUAUUGCGCAAUGGGGACGAAAGCCUGACGCAGCGACGCGCGUGAGGGAUGAAGGCCUUCGGGUUGUAAACCUUCGUUUCAGCAGGACGAAGCGAAAGUGACGUACUGCAGAAGAACGACACCGGACCAACGUACGUCGCCAGCAGCCG
rnacentral:rRNA from 1 species